rnacentral:lncRNA from 1 species
UGAGGCUUGACCCGUGGUGGAUGAGGGGCCAGAUCAAGCUGCUGUCCAGGACUGCUGCGGCCAAGACCUUGGGUGGGAGGGGCUUGCCUAGGGUGUGCUAGCAGCUAGCUAGAUGGAGACUUGACCCGUGGUGGAUGAGGGGCCAGAUCAAGCUGCUGUCCAGGACUGCUGCGGCCAAGACCUUGGGUGGGAGGGGCUUGCCUAGGGUGUGCUAGCAGCUAGCUAGAUGGAGACAUGGAGUGACUCGAUCCUUUUUGUAAGGUUUAUACUAUUUGCCUGCUGCAUAUCGAUCUGAUUUCUUUGAGUUACCUUCUAGGGAUCUAGAGAAUUUUUGCAUCCAAGCAUGAACACGCUACUUCCAAAUUCCACUGGAUUCUUGUUGAUCCACUUUUUUCGGUCCACGCGUGUGAUGUUGUAGCAGUCAGGGGCUAAAUGCAUGGCAUCCUGUUUGAUCUAGCAUGUGGACCAGCACCAACAAAGUUGACCGCUGCAGAAAAUGAAUGAUCACAAAAUGAAUCCCUUUCAUACAUUUUU